AUAUUUCCCAGCUUGGUUGGAGGUGUGGCUCGAUAGAAAAGCUUUUGUUUGCUGUCAGCAGGCCCAGGUUUUAUUUCAUACUCUGGUGUGCACGCGCAUGCCCCCCCACAGAGAGAGAGAGAGAGAGAGAGAGAGAGAGAGAGAGAGAGAGAGAGAGAGGAGGAGGAGAGAGAGAGAGGGAGAGAGAGUUAACUCCUAUCUGGUUGAAGGGGAAACUACAAAAAUUCCUUUAUGGAAGAAAUUCCACAGACUUAAUGAAAAGAAGUUAGGCCAGCCAGACGGAAACAGGAAACACGUAUUAAACCAGAAACUCAGAGUUGAGAUUCAGUUAAUAGCAACUGAACGUAGAUCCCCGUGUACCAGCCGGGAAAUUACAGACUGCCAGCUGCCAACCUGGGAGAUCCAGGAAGACAGCCAGGAAAAGUCUAGAGGGUAAAUGAGAAGAGAAUGGGCGUGCUUUGCAGUGCUGAUCUAGGCCUCAGUGCUGUUCCUUGGUAAGAAGGGGAGUGGGGGGAGGGGGUGUGGUGCGGAGGAAACGGAGGAGAAAGAAACAUGAAGACUUGAGGGGAGAAUGCUCAACAAACAAUAUAGACUUAACAGCAAUUGAAAAAUAAAUUAAUUUAAGAAGACGAGAGAAAAAGAAGAAAAAUAAACAACAGUACCAAAGACCGGGCAGUUUGGGCUACCUGAGACCCUAUCUCAUGAAGCAAAUAACAGGGUUGGCAAAAGGGUUCAGUGGCUAAAGUGAAGUAUAAGGCCGACAGCCAUUUUCAAUCUCACAGAAGUCACACGAUGGGGAGAACCAACCCCUAGAAGGGGUCUCUAAUCUCCAUAUGAAAAAUGGCACACAUGUGCUCCUGCGAACAUAUCAAACAUAUCAUACAUACACAAUAAGGAGGGGGAGGAGGAGGAGGCGGAGGAGGAGGAAGAAGAAGAAGAAGAAGAAGAAGAAGAAGAAGAAGAAGAAGAAGAAGAAGAAGAAGAAGAAGAAGAGGAGGAGGAGGAGGAGGAGGAGGAGGAGGAGGAGGAGGAGGAGGAGGAGGAAGAGGAAGAGGAAGAAGAAGAAGAAGAAGAAGAAGAAGAAGAAGAAGAAGAAGAAGAAGAAGAAGAAGAAGAAGAAGAAGAUCGAAACACAAAAACAAACAACAAUCCAAAAAGGAUGAACUGUAAGAGCCAUAAAAAAUGGCCCAGGAGGUAAAGUGCUUGUCAAGUUUGACGAACUGAAUUUGAUCUCUAAAAAAUAUAGUGGAAGGGGAGAACUGUCUUUGGAAAGUUGUCCUCUGACCUCCGUGUGCGGUGGCAGGUGUGUGCAGGUGUGUGUGUUUGAGUGUGUGCGCUCGGGGCCCCCACGGUGGAGUGCACAGCCAUGGACACUUACAGAUCAGAGGACGUCAGGCGUCCUACUCCCUGUCUGCCCGUUAGACAACGAUAUUCCCCGCACCUGAAGCUAGACUGGUGCCAGCGAGGCCCAAUACUGUAUCUCUGCUCUGCUCCCCGUGGCUGUGUCGUCACAGGAAUGUAGGGCCACGUUCAGCCUUUUCUGUGGGUACCUGAUUCAGACUCAGGUCUUCCUGCUCUCAUACUAGUUAAGCCAGCUCCCCUGGUCGUUAGUCUUUAUUUUGUAGAGGCAGUGUCUCAUUGGAGCCCAGACUGACCUGGAACUCACUCUGUAACCCAGAGCUUUGAGCUGAGGAGGAUCUUCCUACCGUAACCUCCUAAGUGAUCCUACAUGCCUGACCCUUAACCUUAUUAAAACUGAAAAACACAGUUUUCUCAAUUGUCUAAGACAGAAAAUAGACCAAACCAACACUAUAACGCUGAUGGACUGAUUUUUAAAUGUAUUCACGUAUUUCGAUUUUUAUAAAAUGUACAUAACAAAAUCUACCAUUUUGACCAUUUUAAUAAGUGUACAGUUUCCCUGGUACUGAGUGCACGCCCGUAUGAUGCAAUCAUCCCUUCAGCCACCUCCACAAUUCUUCGCUGCAGUUACUUUCAAAGGAGAGGGUUGCUAUUUUCAAGUCUGGAAAGGGAACUCCAGCAGGCAAGAAGAAAAAGAAUUGAGCAAAGUCAGCCAUGUAGAUCCACAGGGAGGUUUCACCUAAGGCUGGGAAGGUGAGGAGGCUACAGUCCUGCUUUCUGCCUCUCCUAUUGGGCUGCCUGAGCCAAUCUGAAGAAGUCCAGCACCAGGAUAGAGCAGGCAAGCAGGGGGCCAGGCUUACCCUAGACCCAGCACCUCUAAUGCUUUACGUUGAUGUUUGAUUAGAAGCCAUAACAGUAGUAGCUUUAACCAAAGCCAUAUGGAUCGGGGGUGUAGCUCAGUUGGUAAAGCAAUUGUCUAGCAUGCAGGAAGUCCUGGGUUCAGUCUCCAGCUUGGUAGCCCAGGUUUAUAAUCCCGGAUUCCAGAUCGCUACGGGUUCAAAGUCAGGGUGGAUACAGAGUGGGGGCUACCAGCCGUGGGCACAGUGGGGAAAACCCAGAUUCCCAGUUCACACUGUCACCAACAACUGCCCGACGAGUUGCUAUUGAGAGACCUCCAUCCAGUGGAAGGUCUUGCGUUUGUGGGUUUUGAUGAAGAAAGGAGUUUCAGGGUGAGCCAAUGAGAAGCAGAGUUGGAUUUUAUAAGAAACAGGGGGGCUGGGGAUUUAGCUCAGUGGUAGAGCGCUUACCUAGGAAGCGCAAGGCCCUGGGUUCGGUCCCCAGCUCCGAAAAAAAGAACCAAAAAAAAAAAAAAAAAAAAAAAAAGAAACAGGAAGAAAGGUGAUGCAAAAAAGCAGAGGAAGCCGUUUUCAGGGGAGAAUUGUACCCUGGCUUCUUUACAAGGAGUCCAUAGGACUUUGGGAGCUCAGGACUCAUAGCUCCAAGGGCUGCUAAGAAAGGCUUCCACUCACCCCGCCCCCACCCUGCUUCUUUUUAACAUUGCUCAAAGAGUGUGGUUCAUACCCAAGUUAAAGAGUUUCCUUAGUAAACAAGCUAUAAUACCUCUGCUACAGCUUCCGGGGGCGGGGUGUCCGGGUUUGGGAGAGAAGGGGAGUGUCUUUUUUUCUUUCAAAAAAUUCAAAAGGCAAAAUCCAAAAACAGAACAACAAAAGUAGACAGAUAGGUAUUUAAGCCAAUUUAAUUUUAUGUAUAUGCAUAUUUUCCAUACAUGUAUUGUAUGUCUGCCACAUUCAUGCUUGCUGCCCUUUGUGCACGGGACCCUAUCUGGGUUCCUCCCCACUGAAGUGUCUCUCCAGUCACCCUCCCUUUUCUUUUCUUGAAGCAUGCUUUAAUUAGCCCGGGCUUGCCUCCAACUCAUUACACAGCCAAGAAUAACCUUGACUUUUCGAUUAACUUAAUUUAAGAAAUACUACGUAUGUAUAAGGAUUGCGUGCACAGGAGUCCAGGUACCCACAGAGGACAGAGACAUCGGAUCCCCUAGAGCUCUCACUGUUGGGGUGUAGAGAACUACGACACGCCGUGGCCUCACUGUUAAGAGGCUUCUGCUCUAUCAUGGCAGACAGCACUUCAGGGCUGGGCUCUCUGCUGUAUCUGAAAUGAAGAGAACUUGACGGUGCUCUCCCACAACUCCCCAACCCUUAAGGCUGGCAGCCAAGAGAAGCCCCUCACACAAAGUUAUACAAAGCCCAGCUCUCCAUUGUGCCUUUUCUGAGAAAAAUGGCUGCCUUCGGCACCAGCUUUGAUGUCAGGGAGUUAAGCCGAGCUGAGUUAAGCAACCCACACUGUUUUACUCCACAAACAGCCAUACAGGUAAGAUUCAGAAAGCUGCCCCAACUCGUUUUCUGCUUUGCUCUGGACUAUAAAGCCAGGCCUCCAGCUGCAUGAGUCACAGGACUGUCUGGUCUCCGAGACCGAAGGUCGUCUUGGAAGAGAUGACAGUGACAUCUUUGGCUAAGGAUGCUGGGAAAAGCUCACCGCGUUGUCACUGCUACGGCCCCCAACAAUCAGUUGAGCAGCCUUCUGGAGACUUUUUUCAGAGCUGUCUCUUAGCUUAGCUCAUGAAUUCCCUUUUGACUGCAGGCCUAAGAGGAAAGGCCAGCAGUAAUAGAGGCUUUGCCAGCCUGAGGAGGUGUGCAUAAACUCACCUCCCCCAUGCCUGCAUGACGUAAGCCUUCUUAGAGGAGCAUGAGAGGCUGCAGCAAAGAGGAGAGCAGAUGGAUUUUGUUUGGCUUCUCAGAGCUUCAGAUCUGAAACAACCUUAACAGCCAACAUGGGGCCGGGGGUGGAGACACAGAGACACAAACGUGAUGUCAGGACAAGGACAAUGCAGUUCCAUCAGGUAUACGCAUCACUGGAAAAGGAUGUGCAGCCCCUUAAGGAAAGCAUGCAUUAGGUAUUGAUGAAGAAUAAUCUACAAGCUGUACUAUUUAUUAAGAAUAAAAGUGAAGAUCAAAGCAGAA